CCCAGAGGGCGCCCAAGGGCCGCAUUGGCACGGUCCCACUCAAGGCCAACGGGAGACACCUGUGUACCAGGCCAAUCAGACCCAGGUGAGGGCUAUAUAAGAGAAGCUGAGGCAUAGUCUAAAGGCAGGAGGUAUGUGACCCAUGUAGGAGCCGAGAGCUGACUGAGAUUCCCUACCUAGACGGACCUUGGCCCCCGGACCCGGUCUAGAGAAGACCACAGGACUACACGGAAGGACCUCCUCAUCUGGAUACCGGGACAGCGGUUUGAGCAGCAGAGACUCUUGUUCAUUGAUCGGAGGCGGGCUGAUGGAACCGGUUUACCACAAUGUGUAAGGUCGGCCUCACUUGUAUUCAUUUGCAAUAACUUGAAUGGGACUUUAGACAUUUGGGGAUAAGCAGCAUAGCAGUCAGGUAGCUAUUUAAAGCUUUAAUAAACCGCGUAUUUCGUUUAUUUAGAUAAAAGUAUUAUGAAAUACUUUGCAUGCACAAUAAAGCAUCCACAUAAAUUUGGCGCGCAGCAUUUUCAUUUUCACUCUGGGCUAAGCCCCGGAUGUUUAUGAAAACUAGAAAUCCCCAGCCAAAUCUAUUCUCUUGAGUAGAGGCAAUAUAUGUGUGUGGAAGAGAUUGGAAGGAGAGGCGAAAAGGAUUAGAGGGGAGAAGAGAGAAGAGUAUGUGUGUGUGUGGGAUACUUCAUCCAUUUAGAACCGGCGUUCUAUCAUUAUAAAAUCGCUAUUGUAAUAUAAAUAUCAGUCUAAACCAGUCUCCCCUUGGCCCAUUUUUUUCUCAUCUACUUUUUUCCCCAAAUGACGAGUUUGACGUCAUUUCGGGAUAAACCUCUUGUCCCGUUAGAAGGGCCGAGUGUGCGUGUAUCUAUAUGGUGUACAUGUAUGGUUUGUGUGUGUUGACUCCAGUUUAACCAGUGAAUGAGUCUCUCUGGUCUCUUUGAUGAAAGCUUCCUUCUCACUCUCACAAACACACACACACUCGCGCACACAGUAAGCUGAAUUGAAUGACGACUUUUUUCCUUUUGAAGUAUGAAUCGAAAUCAGACUCAUCCCUUUAAUUAAAAUGAGGGAGGUCAUUUAAGAUCGAACACAGAGCUGAAAUAGCCUCUCACUGUUACAAAGAAGACCACAGGGCGCCAAACCUGAAUUGAGUUUUACUAAUUAGCUCACCUGCCGCAGCUCGCCUGCCAAGUGGUUUUCUUAAUUAGUUAAUUGGUUGCAUCUGGUGCGUUUCACUUAAGAGGGAAUCGGACAGUACGUUGGGGUCCUCCACUGUUUGGCAGUGUAGCCUCUCCCAAACGUUAAAGACUUUUUGAAGUAAAGAGGAGCAUCUCAUCUGAACCUGAUGUCUAUCAUGGAUAUUUAACUGCAGUUCUGUGAGUAUCCCAACUUAACCAUGAAGAUGAACUGCAAACUGUAAGUCAUUAAUUUCUCAUUACUCUUGGGCACAUUGAUGUAUUUUGGCUUCCUGGUGAGUUAACCUGUUACCUGAAGGUUGAUCUGAGUAGUAAGGAUGUGUUACUGGUUCAUGGGUUACCUAGGUGUUUGGUUUAUGUUGGUUUUAAUGAUUUGUUAAAAUGGUUACAGGCUCCAAGUUAUUGUUGUAAGCUGGAGUAAUGGGUUGGGUUCUGAUAUCUUCAGUCUUCUUUCAUUCUACUCUCCUGAGCUCUGCAUCUUCAUCACAUGAGUCUUGCUUUACUUACGAUGGUGUGGUCUGAGUGAGCAGAGGUGCAUACUGGGAUACAGAGCUGUCUGAAGUCUACAGGUCUGUAGACACGCCCCCUCAGGGGAAACCGAGUGUUUGAGAAACUGUCGUGACGUCAGUUACAUGGACUGGAAUGUUCUUAAAGAUGGAGACAGGGAUUCAGAAGGAGAAACACCAGGGGGAGAUGAGGGGGCUCCUCAUCUCAACGACUGAAACACAACUUCAGUCUGACACAGAGAACCAUGGAACACAUUCAACAGUCCCCUCCAGGCAUCGUGACUCCUCAGGAACAGUUUCUUAUUUGGGGCCAUCCCCAUAUGGAUCCUGCUCCUCAAGAGCCAACCCCCUCCACUGGGUGGUCUUCUGAACAGAUGACCUCCUUCCUGUCCUCAGGCUGACUAAAGCUGUACCGUUUGCAUCUGUGAAGGCCCCUCAUUCAGGAAACCACUGGACUACAAAGACAUGACUUCAGAAACGUUGAAUCAACCUGGGACACAUUUUGGAGACACCAAGCAUAAUCCAUCACCAAUGUGGGACGCCACUGAAGAAUGUUGUACAUAAUUUACGUCUCUGGAGACAUUGGUUGUUCUGUUAUGGGUGCCCUGGCAGGAGAGCUGGGGGGGAUGAUGGAAUGUUAUUUGGCAUGAGGUUUUUACCCUGCAUGAUUGUUUGGUCUUUUAUGGCUCAGUGGUGUGUGUGUGUGUGUGUUUGGGUUUGACAUGAGAUGGAAGAUUUUUGAGCAUCCCUAGGGUUCGUGUGUGUGUGUGUGUGUGUGUGUGUGUGUGUGUGUGUGUGUCCCACUCACACCCGGCAUGGGGUUCUACGUGCCUGUCCUGGGUUCUGUGUGUGUGUCCGGCUUGCUUUGACAGUGAUAAUGUUCAUACGGGGGUCUGUGUGAUUGGCUUGGGAUAUUGGAAUGGUCAACUAAAUCAUACCUGAUGGACGGCCACACGUUUACUUAACAUCCUCCAGGAGACAUGAAGAGCCCUGAGCGACGCUCCGGAGCGAUUUCCAACACACUGGGAAGGAAGGAGAGUGUCCAAAUCAAGUGUAAAAGGAUGCAAGCGGCGUGUUCAGAUCAGCGACUUCAAACUAGGACUACAACAAUCAGGAUCAAUGGAGGAUGGACACCAAAAGGAAUUCCACAAGGAGAGUCUGACGUUGGAAAGGGACCUAAAUGGAUAUUCAAGAUGACCUUCAGACCUGUAAUGAGACAGCUCUUCCUACCUGGCUGGAUUGAUGGAGAGCCCUGUGGAUCUUGUCUUGCUCUCAGUUGCACGUCUUCUCAGGCUGAACUGUAUUUGUUUCGGACAGGACUAGCUGAACGAUUGGUUCCCUUAAAUCAGAACCAAUCCGGGAACUCCAGCUAGUGCGCUCUUCGAGCUGAAGUUGUGCUCUUCAGCUGAGGAGGUAAGGAAACCUUCACUGGGGCUUCAAGGUGUAAAGAGGAGAAUGUUUCAAAGUGUUCCAUGGUACUCUGAUGAAGACCGUUGUUGUGUUCCACUGGACGAGAGGAAGAACCCACACAUCUUCCUCGUGGCCUUUCUCCUCUGAGAAUCCUGGCGCCAUCUUGAAGGAUAUUCCAGCUCAUGUAACUGAUGUCACGACAGAUUCUCAAACCCUUGGUUUCUCCUGAGGUGCGUGUCUAUAGAACUGAAGACUUCAGCCAGCACUGUAUCCCAGCAUGCAUCUCUGCUCACUCAGACCACACCCCCAUGAGUAGGAUGCAACACUCUAGUGAUGGAGAUGUAGAGUUUUAUAAGUAACGAGGGAGCAGACUAAGAUGAUUUGAACACAAUGGAAUGUCAAGUCUGUAAAUCUUUAAACCAUGAAGAUGGUUGGAUAGUUCAGGAAUUGGGCUUCUUUUUACUAUGGGCAAUCCUUUCACUCAGAUGCCCACUUCUCACUGGAGCUGUACAUGUGUUGGCUGGCUGGCAUGAUUUGCUGUUGGUGAUGAGGCGGUCAGGGUGACGUUGCAGGGCUAUGGUCGGCUCUCUGUGAGCUCAAUGUUUAGAUUUGCUCUGUAUGGUUUGUACCCUGAAUAAUCUAGAUAAUUGUCAAAUGUAGACGCGGUUUUGUAUUGAAUGAUUCCAGGAUUUUAGGUUUAAAGUUGUUGUGGGACGUACAUGGUAGUUUGGUUCUUCGUAUGGUUUUGAGUGAUAUAACUUGUACACACUGGGUGCAUAUUAAUGUAAAGGUACACUGAAUAGUAGUAAUGACCAAUAGCAACAAACAGAUCUCCUCAAGGUAAGUCUGUUGGCUUUGUUUUAAUGAAGACCAUCGCUGGACUUCAGGAUCUUCCUCCGUUCAGCUCAAGGUGAGGCGCUGGUUCUGUUUUUUCUUUGGUUGGUUCCGGCCGGAAUGUUCGGAUUCCAGUCGGACGGUUUGUGCUUCCCGCCGUGGAAGGUUCUGAGUGCGGUCACUUGAUUUAGUCCCAAUGGUUAGCAUAGAAUGUUGUAGUCUUGACAACCAUAAGAAACCACCUGGCAGUUAGUUGGACGGGAGUCCCCUGAGGGAAUCUGGCGGAACGUUCUGGAUUGUAUUUGCGUAACCUCGAGCCGUUGCCAACGGAAACAAUUUUUUAGUCGGUCUCCAUUUGGAAUUGUUGCCCCUAUCUUAAACAACUUAAGUUUGAUAUUAAAUACAUACUGACACGUACGUCGUACAAUAUGUUGAUAAUUUCCGAUGGUUGCGCCGUACUUUUAACCACGAUGACGUGACGGGACUCUCAAUGCGUACAAAACAGCGUUCUACUUGCGGGCCCAUUUUUGACAUCAGGGAAGGCUGAAAAUCAUUUCAAGGUAGAAGAUGAUUUGACAUUUCUUCAACGGAACCCAGCACCUGAAUAUGGCUGAGUAUAUUUGAUUUAAUAUCGAUACUGCUUAGUGUUCUUUGUUGCUUCAGCUUUUGCACGUUCUAAAUAUCUGCUGUCAUUAAUUGCCACAGAAGUUAAACAACGACUUUGGUGCAGAGUUACCAACUGGAUAAUAUCAAAGCUAAAAUAAUGGCCGUCAUUCCCACAUGUUACAGUAGAAGAUACUCUAGAACUGUACAAGGUUAAAAAGGUAACAUGUAGUUUGUCCCAAGGUGUCUGCCUCCUCACCCAUAGCCAGACCUCCACCUCCUCAGCCAGAGCCAGACCUCCUCAGCCAGAGCCAGACCUCCACCUCCUCAGCCAGAGCCAGACCUCCACCUCCUCAACCAGAGCCAGACCUCCACCUCCUGUCAGAAGUCCUCCAGAACAGCUGAAAGGCGAGGCUGAGAGGCUGGGGACCGGAGGCUUGUGGUGCCAGGGUGGACCGGAGACUGAGGCUGGAGACCAGGGGCCUGCAGCACCGGACCAGAGGACACACCUGAGCUGAACCUCACCUGAUCCUGUUUGGUCGGGGGUAGACACACCUGAGCUAAACCUGCCCUGAUCCUGACAUCCUGCAGGUCCUGUCUCCUCAGUUCAUCUGAGCCUCGUCUUCCAGAAGACCUGCUGAGCUCAGCAGUCUGAGGCUGAGGGAUCAAUGACCUCCAGUCGGAGUGAUCUUCUUGACCCCACAUGUAACCGUGUGCUUCCACACACCUUUCCCUCACCUCUGUCACUAACCUCACUACUUCACUUCUCUCUACUGCUUCCUCUUUUCUUCCUUCUCUGUGGUUCAAACCUUUACACUGAAGGCGCGUCUUCCUGCCCUCAGAGGGUUCAGCGUUAGGGUUGAGAGUCAGGGUUUAGAGUCAGGGACAGAGCUGGUUAGGGAGGACUGCUUUUACACAAACCUCUUCACUUGCUUUCGGAAUGGUGGUGACAUUUUGAAAAGAUUCAUUUGGGAAAAGGUUUUCCUCUGCUUUCCUUUACAAAAUUGUAUAAAACUUCUGUCAAGUGUUUUUGUUUAUAUAUUAAAAUCCCACAUUGACUUCUACAUGUUUGGUGCGGUUCAUUUAAUUGUCCUUUAACUUGGUUAAUGUCAAGCCAAAGUCCUGCAACACAUUUAAUAUACAUGAUUGUUAUUCAGCAAUGUUCACAUAAUCCAUUUUGUAAAAAUAUGAAACCUCCAUAUUACUACUAAAUUCAAGCCUAUUCAUGUAUUUAACAAUGUACAUACUGCCCCGCAGGCCAUUCUCUGCUACUACAACACGUGUUUGGUGUGAGACUGUUGUCCAGCAGAGGGAGCUGUCAUACAGCUUAAUUAUACAGGAAUGUCUGUGUAUUUACAUUUUAAAAUGUUCAUGGGCUGGUCUAGUUUUUCUGCAAAUAACUCUGCCUCCAGCAACAGGAUUGGUUGAAACAUAUUCAAAAUCUCAAAAUACAUACAGAAGGUGACAAGUUUAAAUUCAGUUGGUAUUCUUGCCUGCAACACAGUCUGAUCCACAUUACACACUUUUUCUUGGCCCGUUUUGGAUUGGGAAAAGGGAUGAUCUAUACCAAAUUCUGCAGCCUCUCGGCAUAUCGACUGUCUGUGUUACAUGUACCCAAAGCACAUCGUUUGACCGUGUUUUUUUGUUUUGUUCACACAAACAACAUAAAUCCACCAUUAAAUAGUUACAUAAUGCCUCCUCCUCCCUUCUUGUUUUCAAUGGAGUUUUCCGAGCUGAUGUCCAAGUAUAGUCGACUGUCAUUGGCUCAUCUGCGUUCUAAGGGCGGAGCUUGGCGACAGGUCAAUCCCUUUAAAUAAGACCAUGC
ensembl:lncRNA